GAUGAACGCUGGCGGCGUGCCUAAUACAUGCAAGUCGAGCGAACAGAUGAGGAGCUUGCUCCUCUGACGUUAGCGGCGGACGGGUGAGUAACACGUGGAUAACCUACCUAUAAGACUGGGAUAACUUCGGGAAACCGGAGCUAAUACCGGAUAAUAUAUUGAACCGCAUGGUUCAAUAGUGAAAGACGGUUUUGCUGUCACUUAUAGAUGGAUCCGCGCCGCAUUAGCUAGUUGGUAAGGUAACGGCUUACCAAGGCAACGAUGCGUAGCCGACCUGAGAGGGUGAUCGGCCACACUGGAACUGAGACACGGUCCAGACUCCUACGGGAGGCAGCAGUAGGGAAUCUUCCGCAAUGGGCGAAAGCCUGACGGAGCAACGCCGCGUGAGUGAUGAACGUCUUCGGAUCGUAAAACUCUGUUAUUAGGGAAGAACAAAUGUGUAAGUAACUAUGCACGUCUUGACGGUACCUAAUCAGAAAGCCACGGCUAACUACGUG
rnacentral:rRNA from 1 species